rnacentral:rRNA from 1 species
AUUGAACGCUGGCGGCAUGCUUUACACAUGCAAGUCGAACGGUAACAGGUCUUCGGAUGCUGACGAGUGGCGAACGGGUGAGUAAUGCAUCGGAACGUGCCCAGUCGUGGGGGAUAACGCAGCGAAAGCUGCGCUAAUACCGCAUACGAUCUAUGGAUGAAAGCGGGGGACCGUAAGGCCUCGCGCGAUUGGAGCGGCCGAUGUCAGAUUAGGUAGUUGGUGGGGUAAAGGCUCACCAAGCCAACGAUCUGUAGCUGGUCUGAGAGGACGACCAGCCACACUGGAACUGAGACACGGUCCAGACUCCUACGGGAGGCAGCAGUGGGGAAUUUUGGACAAUGGGCGCAAGCCUGAUCCAGCAAUGCCGCGUGCAGGAAGAAGGCC